CCUACGGGCGGCAGCAGUGAGGAAUAUUGGUCAAUGGCCGGAAGGCUGAACCAGCCAUGCCGCGUGAAGGUCAGUGCCCUAUGGGCGUUAAACUUCUUUUGUGCGGGAGCAAUAAUGGUCACGUGUGGCCAGACGAGAGUACCGUACGAAUAAGCAUCGGCUAACUCCGUGCCAGCAGCCGCGGUAAUACGGGGGAUGCAAGCGUUAUCCGGACUUAUUGGGUUUAAAGGGGGCGUAGGCUGUGAGGUAAGUCAGCGGUGAAAUGCCCCCGGUCAACGGGGUGAAGUGCCAUUGAUACUGCCUGGCUGGAAUGCGGAUGCCGUGGGAGGAAUGUGUGGUGUAGCGGUGAAAUGCAUAGAUAUCACACAGAACACCGAUUGCGAAGGCAUCUCACGAAUCCGCGAUUGACGCUGAUGCACGAAAGCGUGGGUAUCAAACAGGAUUAGAUACCCUUGUAGUC
rnacentral:rRNA from 1 species